rnacentral:rRNA from 1 species
CCUACGGGUGGCAGCAGUGGGGAAUAUUGGGCAAUGGAGGAAACUCUGACCCAGCAACGCCGCGUGAAUGAUGAAGGUCUUCGGAUUGUAACGUUCUUUUCUAAGGGAAGAAGAAAGUGACGGUACCUUAGGAAUAAGCCUCGGCUAACUACGUGCAAGCAGCCGCGGUAAUACGUAGGAGGCGAGCGUUAUCCGGAAGGACUGGGCGUACAGGGUGCGGAGGGGGUUUGGAAAGGUAGGAGCGUAACUCCAAGGCUCAAACUUGUAACUACUACUAAAACUGUUGGACUUGAGUGCAGGAGAGGCAACCGGAAUGCCUAGUGUAGCGGUGGAAUGCGUAGAUAUUAGGAGGAACACCAGCGGCGAAGGCGGGUUGCUAGACUGUAACUGACACGGAGGCACGAAAGCGUGGGGAGCAAACAGGAUUAGAUACCCGGGUAGUC